UACCUGCAGCUCGAGUGGUGAUCGCUAUUAUUGGGCCUAAAACGUUCGUAGCCUGUUUAGUAAAUGCUUGGGUAAAUCGUGCCGCUUAACGGUACGAAUUCCGGGUAGACUGCUAAACUUGAGACCGGGAGAGGCUAGAGGUACUCCUGGGGUAGAGGUGAAAUUCUGUAAUCCUAGGGGGACCACCAGUGGCGAAGGCGUCUAGCUAGAACGGGUCUGACGGUGAGGGACGAAGCCCUGGGGCGCAAACGGGAUUAGAUACCCCGGUAGUCCAGGGUGUAAACGCUGCUUGCUUGAUGUUAGUCGGGCUCCGAGCCCGAUUAGUGUCGGAGCGAAGGUGUUAAGCAAGCUGCCUGGGAAGUACGGUCGCAAGACUAGAAACUUAAAGGAAGUUGGCGGGGGAGCACAGCAACGGGUGGAGCGUGCGGUUU
rnacentral:rRNA from 1 species